AUUGAACGCUGGCGGUAUGCUUAACACAUGCAAGUCGAACGAGUGGCGGAUGGGUGAGUAAUGCAUAGGAAUCUACCUUUUAGUCUAGGAUAACUACCCGAAUGGGUGGCUAAUACUGGUUGCUAAGAGAUGAGCCUAUGUGGGAUUAGGUAGUUGGUGGGGUAAUGGCUCACCAAGGCGUAGCUCUCUAGCUGGUUUGAGAGGAUGAUCAGCCACACUUGGACUGGGACACGGGCCAGACUCCUACGGGAGGCAGCAGUGGGGAAUAUUGGGCAAAGGGCGGAAGCCUGGUCCAGCAAUACCGCGUGUGUGAAGGAGGGCCUAGGGUUGUAAAGCACUUUUGUUAGGGAGAUGUUACCUAAAGAAUAAGCACCGGCUAACUCCGUGCCAGCCGCCGCGGUAAUAC
rnacentral:rRNA from 1 species